GCUGGGUGCUAUGGUGGGCGCCUGUGGUCCCAGCUGCUUGGGAGGCUGAGACAGGAGACUCGCUUGAGCCCAGGAGUUGGAGGUUGCUGUGAGCUGUGAUGCCACGGCACUCUACCCAGGGGGAUAGCUUGAGGCUCUGUCUCACAAAAAAAGAAUGGUAAACUUUUUUUUAGAUACAGAGUCUCACUUUGUUGCCCUUGGUAGAGUGCUCUGGCGUCACAGGUCACAGCAACCUCCAACUCCUGGGCUCAAGCGAUUCUCCUGC
rnacentral:sRNA from 1 species